AACGUCGCCGCUGAUGGCCAGCCGACCGUCUGCAAAACGGUUUGAACCGCGGGUUCGAUUCCCGCCGACGUUU
rnacentral:tRNA from 1 species